GGCCUCAUUACCAUCUCUCCUCUCCAGGGAACAGCAGUCAGAGAGCCUAGUCCCCAGGGAAGAGCAGCAGCCUUGCAGUUUAUAUGGCGAGACUGGUACUCAGGACCCAAAAUACUGGGAAAUAACCUAAGACAAACACGAUGCUGUGUGAGACCCCGCAGAUGACAUUUACUAAACCAUCAGAAUGUGGAGAAUCACUCUGAUACCCUGCAGUACCAGUUACAGUAUUCACUCGUAUAUUUGACAUCUAAUAUGUAAGACCAUUGCACGAGGAAAGGAAAAGAUGGGAAAUUUGGCUCUUCCUUUGGCAAGGGAGAAACAAAGACCUGGAGAGGGUAAUACACAAAGCACAAAGCCUUCCUCAACCUGCUGGGGGUCUGUCUCUUGCGCCAGACUCACAGACAGGGAGUCUUCCUUGUUUGACACCACCUAGUGGCUUCGGGUCUGAAUUACU
rnacentral:lncRNA from 1 species